rnacentral:rRNA from 1 species
UCCGUAGGUGGAUAAUUAAGUCAGAGGUGAAAUCCUGCAGCUCAACCGUAGAACUGCCAUUGAUACUGAUAUUCUUGAAUGUAGUUGAGGUAGGCGGAAUGUGUAAUGUAGCGGUGAAAUGCUUAGAUAUUACACAGAACACCGAUUGCGAAGGCAGCUUACUAAACUAUGAUUGACGCUGAGGCACGAAAGCGUGGGGAGCGAACAGGAUUAGAUACCCUGGUAGUCC